AGGCUCAUUAGAUUCGUCUCGCGAUUUACAGCCCAUCCAUGCAAAAAGUUUUAUAAAUAGAUUUCAUUUAGUACUUCAAAUUAGCAAGAUUUCUUUUCACUUUAAUGCAUUUACGGUUUUUUUGCAUUUACAUGUAAAGAAGGGCCUCAAUUAGUUCUGUUCUGUAUGACUGUAAAGGAAUGACAGCCUUGUAUACGAGAUUCUUACCUUCUAGGCAAGUUAUCCGAAGCUUCCAACAUUAAACAAUGCAGCAAUUUGCAAUAGAGAACACUGACCGUCUGAAACUCACAGAUUAUUUGAUUACUAUAUACAGUAUGUGCUAUAAUCACAGUUGCUAAUGAUUGCAUUCAACUUAGCCCUCACUAAUGAAUCUCGUUUUGAGAAUCAGGAGGAAUACAGGGACGGGAGUAUGGGACCGCUGAUUCGCAAAACACCUGAACACAGACAACCUCCUCAAGAAAGUAACCUGACAAGUGGGCCCAAAAUGCUAGCGUCAGCAAAGCCCCCGCGUCGCAGGGGGGUCAAGCCGAAAUUCCUACAAGGGGAAGGGGAUUGCUUCGUAUAAUUCCUACUGUACUUCCUUUUACCGCCGGCACCGAAUCCCCCCUUCCCCCGGGUUAUUUACAUAUUUACCAUUAUAAGAAAGGUCACUCGCUGGAUUAGCACUCUUAAACGGGCUCCUACAGAUUUAGCACAACUGUAGUCGUAAAUCUUACGUUUUUACCACUUUUGCCUACGUGGCAGGACACGGCGGCAGGCCACGUUGGCGCCCGGUCCGCAAGGCGAGGCGAAAUGUCCUUUGUGCCCCCGCCCCUUUGUUCAUGUGCCCGUGACCCCGGUCCAGCCCGUUGACCGCUCCCACUCUCCUCACCCCCCUCUCGCUAUCCCGCCGCCGCCGACGCGCCUUUCUUCCCCACUGCGCCGCCGCCGCCGCCGCCUCUCCCGUCCCGCCUCCCCCAGCGCAACGGCGGCCAGGGCUAUGGCGCAGAGGGCCGACUAAGGGCAAGGCGUGUGAUGUAAUAGGUCGCCAUCUCCCGUGGCCGCAAUGGAUCCUGGUGAUUGUCCUCCCUGAUACAAAUAAAUGAGGGACAACAUCAGUGUGCAUCUACACAAAGAGUUCUGAGCAAGAUGGCAUCAAUAAACUGGGUGGCAGAGAGAGCUAUUCCAUUGCUCAAGAUGAACCCAACAAUGGGGGCUUCAGAAACGCAAAAGCAGUUGAGAUUCAAAUACAACAUUGAAAUCCCCUACCAGACAGUGUACAAUGGGACAAAGAGAGCAUCUGAGAGAAUUUUUGGUAAGUGGACUGAUUCCUUUGAUUGGUUGUACAGGUUUAAGGCAGAGAUAGAACUGAGAUCUCCAGGCAGUGUGGUAGAGAUAGACACUGUCACUGAUGAGGAUGGCAAGGGAAGCUGCUGCAAAAGCAAAGAGAGAUGCAGAAGAAGCAGAACUGAAGGCAGCAGCAGCAAGGGAAGCAGCAGAAGCAGCAGCAAGGGAAGAGGUUGAAGCUACCAGGAAUGAAUUUGCAUCAUCUGUCCCUGAGCCAAGUGAAGAAGCAGCCCUUGAACCUAUGGCUUUGGCAGUGAUUAAUGCCCCAGAACCAAUUCAGACAACCCCCCCAGCAAAAAGGGCACUAUUCUCAGAUGGUGAACAUGGCAAGAAACUUACACCAAAGAGGAAGGCCUUGGCAACUAAAGUGAAAAAAACACCACCUAAGAAGAAAGCACGCAAGAGCAAGUGAGGAGUGAGUAGUGAGAAGUGAGCAGUGACGCUAGUGUCUUUUGUGGUGUAUGAUUGGCCAAAUUACUGUAUUUUACAUGGCCUUUGGCAACUUCUGUGUUGUAAAGUGAACUCCAUGUAUUCUCUGUUGGGAACAUUCUCUGUUGGUCAUCUUUUCUGUUCGUCAUUCAAAUUACCUCAUUUCAUUUGCUCAAUUCAAUUUGCAUUCAAAAGCAGUAGAGCACUUUACAAACUAGACAUGAACACACUCUACAUCAGUUCAUUGCAACAGAUUUUACCACAAACGCCAAUACAACUACUGCAAUACAACCAAUGAAAAUGUUCAUUUUCCACAUCAGUCUCUCCAUCUUGUUCUCCAGUUGUUUCAUCCCCUCAUCUACAACAGGUGCUUCAUCCUCUCCAUGUUCAUCAAUCUGCUGGCAGCAUAUCCUGACGAUCUUCUUCUCCACCAGCUCAUCCAAAUACUCCCUCUGAAACCUAUAGAAGCCACACAGCUUCGGAUUCUGCAAAAAAACGAUGAACAUUGAAACCCUACGUUUCAUUGAAAAUGGAGAAAAACUCACAACUUACCCCAUUUCUCGGGCAUUUGAAGAAGAUGCUCCCCUUGUUCUGACUUUCCAGCUUCACCACGCGAAGCUCAAUCACCCGGGCAAGAUCGCAAUCGGGGCACACGAUCAAAGGCAGCCCAGUCUCUUUACCGACCGGAUGCUGCUCGCACACGGAGCUCACUCCUCUCACCUGCCUCCUAGUUGCCCUACUCGCGCUGGAGCUGGAGGAGUCGGCCCUCUGCGCCAUAGCCCUGGCCGCCGUUGCGCUGGGGGAGGCGGGACGGGAGAGGCGGCGGCGG